rnacentral:rRNA from 1 species
GUCUUUUUGAGUUAUUUUAAAAGUCUGACCUGCCCACUGAAUAUUUUAAAUGGCCGCAGUAUUCUAACUGUGCAAAGGUAGCAUAAUCAUUAGUCUUUUAAUUGAAGGCUGGUAUGAACGGUUGGACGAAGUAUAAGCUGUUUCAUAUAAAAUUGUAUUAGAAUUUUAUAUUUUAGUUAAAAAGCUAAAAUAUUAUUAAAAGACGAGAAGACCCUAUAAAUCUUUAUAUUUAAUAUUAUUCAAAUUUUUUUGAUUAAUUUUAUUUUUAUUAUAUUAAAUAUUUUGUUGGGGUGAUAUUAAAAUUUAACAAACUUUUAAUUGUGAAUUAAAACAUUAAUUUAUGAAUAAUUGAUCCAUUAUUAGUGAUUAUAAGAUUAAGUUACUUUAGGGAUAACAGCGUAAUUUUUUUUGAGAGUUCAUAUCGACAAAAAAGUUUGCGACCUCGAUGUUGGAUUAAGAUAUAUAUUUAGGUGUAGCUGUUUAAAUAUUAAGUCUGUUCGACUUUUAAAUUCUU